UGCCUCAGUAACGGCGAGUGAAGCGGCAACAGCUCAAAUUUGAAAUCUGGCCUCACGGUCCGAGUUGUAAUUUGUAGAGGAUGCUUUUGGCGAGGUGCUUUCCGAGUUCCCUGGAACGGGACGCCAUAGAGGGUGAGAGCCCCGUACGGUAAGACCACCGAGCCUCUGUAAAGCUCCUUCGACGAGUCGAGUAGUUUGGGAAUGCUGCUCUAAAUGGGAGGUGUACGUCUUCUAAAGCUAAAUACCGGCCAGAGACCGAUAGCGCACAAGUAGAGUGAUCGAAAGAUGAAAAGCACUUUGAAAAGAGGGUUAAAAAGUACGUGAAAUUGUUGAAAGGGAAGCAUUCAUGACCAGACUUGGGCUUGGUUGAACAUCCGGCGUUCUCGCCGGUGCACUCUGCCAGUCCAGGCCAGCAUCAGUUUGCCCCGGGGGACAAAGGCGGUGGGAAUGUGGCUCCCUUCGGGGAGUGUUAUAGCCCGCCGUGUAAUGCCCUGGGGCGGACUGAGGAACGCGCUUCGGCACGGAUGCUGGCGUAAUGGUCAUCAAUGACCCGUCUUGAAACACGGACCAAGGAGUCGUCUUCGUAUGCGAGUGUUCGGGUGUCAAACCCCUACGCGUAAUGAAAGUGAACGUAGGUGAGAGCUUCGGCGCAUCACCGACCGAUCCUGAUGUUCUCGG
rnacentral:rRNA from 1 species